UGUGACUGCAUAUAAAAGCAGAUGACUAGUAGUGAUCUGUAACAAAGACAACAGGAGGAGAGAGCAGAAAUGCAAGAGGCCAGACUCAUCUUCGGUGAGCUACACAGUGACCUGAAGCAAACUCCAACACAGAGUAAUACCUGAUGCCAGAAAUUAAACUAACACUGAGGAUAACCCAUACAUACAGCGCCAGUUUGAAUGGGGCAGGAGGCACUGGCUUGGAAUCAUUCCAGAAACCUUUCUCAAGCAGCUGAAUAUUCGUCUUCAUUAGGGCAUCAUCACCCCACCACACUCCAGUGCUGAUUCCUGUUAACACAGAGCGAAUGUGCAAAACGGGUGUUGGGGGAGGCCACAUGACGGGGAUGAGGCGAGGAGAAAGGUGGAAUACUGAACGAAUGACAGAGUUUGGGAGGACAGGACAAGCUUCAACGAGAUUAUGAAGGACGCACUGAUCUCAUUGCUCAUCUGCUCCAGCAACGUGCCCCUCGUACUGAUACAGAGAGACAUGAAGUGCUGAAGAAAUCAAGGACAUUAGCAAAGGAAGUGUCUUUGAUCCGUUUUAUCUUUUAUUCCCCCAGUGUUUGGCUCCUAGACGAUUAAUGAAUGGGCUAAUCAUUUAAAGGAUUUCUGGACACAGAUUAAUUGUACACCUUCACAAUAAAAGCAAAGACAAACAGCCGGGACCCAGAAUUGUCCGUUUUGUGGAGAAUGCCCAGCUCUUGGUCUCUGAAAACCUUCAAGUGCUUCCAAAUCAUCUUUCAAAAUUCAGCUGGACCUGUCUUCCACCUGAGCUGUGCUCUACAUGACCUCGUCUAUCCUCUCUGCACUGGACAUCACAGACACUGCACUUGCUGGUAUGACUUCCUUACUGGUAGAUGUAACUGGAAUAAGUGGCAUCUGCUAACCAUUGGGGGGAAAAAAAAAAAAUAGUUGUUAAGAAUUGCACUCCUGCUUCACUCAGUAGAUCCAGACUCACUUGGCCUGAUUGCAAACCAGUAUCUGACAACCAGUGUUGGCCAAUAACAUGUUAAUAGUAAUGUGUUACUGUAACAGCAUUACUUUUGACACUAAAUAAUACUGUAGCACAUUACUUUUUUAAAUAUAGUAACUACGUUAUUCUUACAAUAUGAUGCGUUUGUCCGAUACUUUGUAAGUUAACUAAUUUUGGCUGCAGUCUAGCCCACAUUUUCCUGUUUGCAUUGACAACGCAUUGUUGAAUUAUUGGAUGCCAACCUACCACCGUAAAGAAAGUCAAGCGAAAUCAGAGACCGAAUGAGCACAAGGUACACCUAGAGAGACUGAGAGACUAUUAACAUUACUAUUAUUUAUUACUAUUACUGAUACUGUUUGUUGUUUCAAAUAAAUAAACACACAUUUGAUUG
rnacentral:lncRNA from 1 species